rnacentral:rRNA from 1 species
UACAGAGGUCCCGAGCGUUGUUCGGAUUCAUUGGGCGUAAAGGGUGCGUAGGUGGCGCCGUAAGUGGGGUGUGAAAUCCCGGGGCUUAACCCCGGGACUGCAUUCCAUACUGCGGUGCUUGAGGACUGGAGAGGAGACUGGAAUUUACGGUGUAGCAGUGAAAUGCGUAGAUAUCAGGAGGAAUACCGAUGGCGAAGGCAGGUCUCUGGGCUGACACUGACGCUCAUGCACGAAAGCGUGGGGAGCAAACAGG